rnacentral:rRNA from 1 species
AUGAAUUGCGUCGUGCUAUACAUGCAAGUCGAGCGGACAGAAGGGAGCUUGCUCCCGGAUGUUAGCGGCGGACGGGUGAGUAACACGUGGGUAACCUGCCUGUAAGACUGGGAUAACUCCGGGAAACCGGAGCUAAUACCGGAUAGUUCCUUGAACCGCAUGGUUCAAGGAUGAAAGACGGUUUCGGCUGUCACUUACAGAUGGACCCGCGGCGCAUUAGCUAGUUGGUGGGGUAAUGGCUCACCAAGGCGACGAUGCGUAGCCGACCUGAGAGGGUGAUCGGCCACACUGGGACUGAGACACGGCCCAGACUCCUACGGGAGGCAGCAGUAGGGAAUCUUCCGCAAUGGACGAAAGUCUGACGGAGCAACGCCGCGUGAGUGAUGAAGGUUUUCGGAUCGUAAAGCUCUGUUGUUAGGGAAGAACAAGUGCGAGAGUAACUGCUCGCACCUUGACGGUACCUAACCAGAAAGCCACGGCUAACUACGUGCCAGCAGCCGCGGUAAUACGUAGGUGGCAAGCGUUGUCCGGAAUUAUUGGGCGUAAAGGGCUCGCAGGCGGUUUCUUAAGUCUGAUGUGAAAGCCCCCGGCUCAACCGGGGAGGGUCAUUGGAAACUGGGAAACUUGAGUGCAGAAGAGGAGAGUGGAAUUCCACGUGUAGCGGUGAAAUGCGUAGAGAUGUGGAGGAACACCAGUGGCGAAGGCGACUCUCUGGUCUGUAACUGACGCUGAGGAGCGAAAGCGUGGGGAGCGAACAGGAUUAGAUACCCUGGUAGUCCACGCCGUAAACGAUGAGUGCUAAGUGUUAGGGGGUUUCCGCCCCUUAGUGCUGCAGCUAACGCAUUAAGCACUCCGCCUGGGGAGUACGGUCGCAAGACUGAAACUCAAAGGAAUUGACGGGGGCCCGCACAAGCGGUGGUGCAUGUGGAUUUAAUUCGAAGCAACGCGAAGAACCUUACCAGGUCUUGACAUCCUCUGACAACCCUAGAGAUAGGGGCUUUCCCUUCCGGCG